rnacentral:lncRNA from 1 species
GUUGUUGUUUUCAUUUUUUACAGUUACGGCUGGAUCACCUUCCAACUGUACUGACGCUACAUUUAUUGAUUGUCAGGAUACACAUGUCUGCAGCCAUACAGAUCUCAAGAAGUACUGUCCUCUCACCUGUGGUAUAUGCAGUAAGUUGUUACCCGCAUCCGUGGUUACCAUUUAUAGAACCAAAGAUUUAAAUAAUGAUAGAAUACUAUACAUGUAGGUCAGUGUAUCCCAAACUCUGUCUGACCGACAAACUGUCAGUCAAAAAAUCAUUCGGACAGACAGCAAUUUUCAGUAUAAAAGUGCAAAUUUCUCUUUCGGUCAGACAAACACUAAAAACGUUUGGCACAGACUGGUAUGUAUUUGCAUACUUAUUAAAUAUCAUUUCUUAAUAUUUUACAUAAUAUAAAAUAGUACUAUAUAUAUAUAUAUAUAAAUAAGGGUUUAAAUACGUUCACAAGGGUCCUAAUAAUUUACUAUCGUGUGGAGCUCUUUUGUGUGUUCUCCUUCUAUUUUCUAAUAGUUCGCAAAUGGUUCGCUUAUGCUAUUAAAUAUCUAGCUCGUGGCACAAACACGUCUUUAUAUAAAUCUUGAAAUGAAAUAGAUGCAACUACUUUAUGUCUCUCAGUUUAUAUUAGUGUUUCAUCAUAUUUUCUUUUUGAAUCAACACUAACGUCGUUAUGGCUUACUAUUUGCCUACAUUAUUCUGUUUGUAUUUGUUGUAAAUCAAAAUCUUCGGGGAACAAAUAAACAAAUCGCAUAAACUAAUUGUUUUUGUUUCUUUUGAAUUUGACCUUUAAACAAUGAAUCAGUACUUUACUUUCUUUUGUUUUAGAACCCUGUCAAGACGAAAGUGUGUUUAACUGUAAUCAGAAUGUGUGUUCUUUUCCCACGCUAAAGAAAUUCUGCCCUGUAACUUGUAAUUCUUGCAGUGAUGCCACACAUAACAUGCAUAAUACAAGUAUGUUAUUUAGUUUUACAUAAGUGUGGGUUAUAUUAUAAGUAUCAUUUCAAAAGAAUUCUAGAUAUUAUAUUACUUAUGUUUAACACGAUUACAACCAAGGCCGUGUUCACAUUGACCUAAACUCGGUGCUGUGUUAGUGUAACUCCCACAUAAACUAAACAUAAUUACGUUCCCAUUAGUAAAACUCAAUGUUUACAUUUACAUUCCUAUGCAGUCUUAAAAGGGGUGGUUGGGUGGGAAACGAAACUUUACUGUCGGAUAGGCGAACCUCGAAUGACAAUUCUAGACUAUAAUACUAUAAUUUUAGCGCUAAAAUUCAAGCAUGAAGUUAUCAUGAUUGAUAUAACUUAAACCGGUAAUAACUUACUGCUUGUCCAUUCAAAUUAAACAUAAACAUGUUUUGAUUUGAACACACGUGCUAAAAGUAAACAAAUACACAUGUUCCCGAGUAACCUUUAUACAUACAUACACAAUGUAUCAUCGUAUGGUCUCCUAUACUAACAUAUUUGACUGAUUGAAUGGUCGAUGGUUUCAAUGUCAUCGUCAGCUCUCAUAACUGUAUAACGUGGUGAAUAAAAUUGAAAAAUAUUUGUUAUUUAUGCUUCAUUUCUUUUAAAUUCUGUUUGAUGCAGCACAGAUAAAUAGUUGUUUUUACAAGGGAAAGACUUAUCAGGAAGGUGAACACUUUACUGAUGGUUGUGAUUACAAAUGCGUCUGUGAAGAUGGACCUACUGGACGUUACGUAUGCCAUUCAAUGUAAGGUUACAGCUGUUUUAUAACUUAAUGUGCAUGUUCGGUUAUUGAUAGAAAUGUUUUUAAAUAAAGAGAUGUGACAUGAUUGCCAAUUAUUAUUCAGUCUGUAUGUAGAAAUACUGAAAAUUUUAUCUAUGUAGCAAUGAUCUUCAAUUAGCAAUGAAGGAGCAACAAUAUUAACCAUGAAUUUUGAAAACCCUGACGUCUCGUAUAUGAUUUGUCUCAAUGUCGUUUUGUUUACAUACAUGUAGUUCAAUCUACAAAAUGACGCCAUUUCACUGUGAUACAUUAUUUUGGCCAAAUUUUAUUUGAAAUUAAUUGAGUGAUUCAUUUAACUUAAAAUUAAUGAAAAGUGAAGUGAUGAAAUCUACUAUAUAUAUAUAGGCGUCUCUAUUUUACUUAUGAUGAACAUAUCCCAUUGGUACCUUUCGCUCCUCUUAUACAGGUAAAAAUACUUGUCGGACAGACAUAUGAGAAAUACAAAAUUGCGUGAUUGUUAUACCAACAACAAAAUUAUAACAUAUGAUACUUACAAUUCAGGAUAGUCUAUUUUGAAGUUUAAUGACAAGUUGAGUGUAUUGACCACCAGAUUCACUUCUAAACCCAUCCCUUUUUAAAGUUACAACUUUUAACAGGUCUAGGCAGGCUUUAAUCGUCGUGAGUAUUCCUGAAAUACAAAAUGUAUAUUGCAUGAUUGUAUGAUGUUACAUGUUGUCAAUUUUGUUACAGGUGUACCCAGUGGAACCUACCAAGGAUUUGUACAUUAAAUCCUCCAGCUCCUGGGAAGUGUUGUAAGACACCAAGUUGUCCGUCACACAUGACAAUAAGCUACCCGCCAGGGUAUAUAGAGCAGUAAUCAAAUGUA